AAUGGGAAGAUAAAAUGCGAGCGCACCUUUACUCGUCCCCGCUUCCCCUUUCGAACAAGUGGACAGACAGAGGCUAUACAAGAACGAGGACUAUACCAUAUCAGGCAAAAUGGUGAAGAUUGGGAUCAAUGGAUUUGGGCGUAUUGGGCGUCUGGUGACCCGUGCCGCUGCCAAGGGCGGCAAGGUUGAGGUCGUCGCCAUCAAUGACCCCUUCAUUGACCUGGACUACAUGGUCUACAUGUUCAAGUAUGACUCCACCCACGGUGUUUGGAAGGACAGCGAAGUGAAGCAGGAAGGUGGAAAGUUGAUCAUUGGCAAUCUGCACAUCACAGUUUUCCAUGAGAGGGACCCCACCGCCAUCAAGUGGGGCGAGGCUGGCGCGGACUACGUCGUCGAGUCGACUGGUGUGUUCACCACCAUCGAGAAGGCCUCUGCUCAUCUGCAGGGAGGUGCCAAGAGGGUCAUCAUCUCCGCUCCCAGCGCCGACGCACCCAUGUUCGUGAUGGGCGUCAACCACGAGAAGUACGACAACUCCCUGAAGGUUGUCAGCAACGCCUCCUGCACAACUAACUGCCUGGCUCCCAUCGCCAAGGUUAUCAACGACAACUUUGGCAUCGUUGAGGGUCUUAUGAGCACUGUUCACGCGAUCACAGCCACACAGAAGACUGUUGACGGGCCCUCCGGUAAGCUGUGGAGAGAUGGACGUGGUGCCAGCCAGAACAUUAUCCCCGCCUCCACCGGCGCCGCCAAGGCCGUGAGCAAGGUUAUCCCCGAGCUGAAUGGCAAGCUAACCGGCAUGGCCUUCCGUGUCCCCACUCCCAAUGUGUCCGUGGUUGACCUGACUGUCCGUCUUGAGAAGGCCGCGCCUUAUGACGAGAUCAAGAAGGUCAUCAAGGCUGCUGCUGAAGGACCCAUGAAGGGAAUUCUGGGAUACACAGAAGACCAGGUGGUGUCCACAGACUUCAACGGCGACUGCCGCUCCUCAAUCUUUGACGCCGGCGCAGGCAUUGCCCUCAACGACCACUUUGUCAAGCUGGUCUCAUGGUACGACAAUGAGUUUGGCUACAGCAACCGUGUUGUUGACCUGUGUCUGCACAUGGCCUCCAAGGAGUAAAGUUUCCACACCACACUUCCAACCACUCACGACCUCUUCCUUCUCCUGAACGGACAUCCAAACAGUCCUCCGCCAGUAAAGUCUAUAGCAAUGUUUUAUAAUAUGUCACACCUCUGUUCUGUUCAGAAGACUGAGUCGGAUUUUUGCCUGCAGAAUAUUCCUGUCCACCGCGCUGUGCCUUAGUUCACAAUAAAAUUAAUUUGUUUCUGAACAAAACCUUUUUUUUUUUGUCGUCUCAGUCCUCAGGCGCACAUCUUGUAAAUGCAGGAAUUGUUCAAAUCUACGCAUGAAUUUAGAUCUGUUUACAUUUUAUUUCUGUGAAUCAAACUUGUUAUUCAGGGUACGUUUCAUUACAGCUCAACAGAGGCUGUAAAACUAAGCAUUUGGACCAUGAAUGGCAUGCUAAAAUAUUCCCAUUUACUCAAGUCUGAGUUUUAAAAUGAUGUUGACAAGAGAAGUGUAGACGGAUUUAUCUUGUCUGUCAACACCUAGUGGAAAGUGAAAGUAUACCGUUUCUGAGGAGUGAUUGAGAGUUCUUCAGAAGUGGGUUUAACUUUAAGAAUCUUUUUAACUGAAAGCAUUUUCCAGAUGUAAGCAAAAAGUAGACCAGUUCAGUAGUGCAUUGUAUUCUAAAGAAAAAUGCUUGACUCCAUAUUGUUUUUGGUUCCUUAAACGGCUUACCUGAUGGCAGGAGCUAUAGUCAGUGAUUGGCAGAUCAAGUCAAUAGCUCAGUGCAUUCAAAUCACACACAGAGCAUUGCUCUUUAAACACGAGACAAGGAACGAGAACAGGCAAAGAGACUAUUGUUCAUGUAAGUAUUGAACUUUCUAUGGGUUUAUCAUAACUGUCACUAACUUUUUUUUUUUUUACCACGACAGGGAAAACGGGUGCGCACUUCCAAUCUAUUACUAUUCACUUAACGAUUAUUAAGUAUUUCAGUGCAUUCGGAAAGUAUUCAGACCUCUUAGCUUUUGCCAAAUGUUACGUUACAUCCUUGCUUCUGUGAUCUAGUUUACAAAUAUGGUCCGUGAUCAAGAUGACAUCGUUCAGGGUUAGCAAGAGCUGAAAACUGUAUUUAUUUACCAUUCAUCUGAGGCACUAGAGAUGCAAAUUUGUGGCAAUUCCAAGGCAAUAAUAAAUGCUAUAAUACCACAUUUUGAUUUUUCAAAAUAAACAUGGAACUUGUGAAAAAUACUCUUGUUUAAAUCAUCACCAAUGUAAACAAUUAGAAGUUUUCCUGAAAAAUAAACACUUUAUUUUUCUCAUCUGAAUCAAAGGUGUUGCGUUUUGGGGAUAAGCACGAGAUAAGUUGUCUGUCCGAUGGCGUGUUCGAAUGGGCCUCGCAAUCUCAUAUUUAUCAGAUGGGGAAAUCGUAAAUAUGACAUGAAUGGGUUUGUCUUCGUCUUAUUGCCAAAGUUAGAUUGUGUCUUUUAAAGGCUAAAUGGGUUUUGCAUGCACCAUCUUGCGCUCUUUCUCUCUGUCUCAUAGAGGAGGAAGAUAAUGUUGGGAAAACCUCUUCCAGCCCGACCACAGCUGCUUGUAUAAAUGUCAAAUUCACAAGUCAAAGCAAAGAAAAAGUCAUGGCUCCUGUACCCACAGCCCUGCAUGUUGAGGAGGAAGAAGCACUUUCCUCCAUUCAAGGUCUUACUGCCUAUGUCCACUCCCCUAACACAGUGGAUGGCAGGCCAGAGAUUGACAUUAGAAAAGAUGCUGGGGUGAGAUCUACACAAGAUGCGGCAGGAGUUCAUGACCAACAGCGAUCUGUCCACAAUAAGAGGGCGUGCCCUGUCAGCAAGUCAUGCUCUUCUCUCCACUCAUCCAAGUGACUGCAACCGUCCUCGACCAAACGAGAGGAAAUCGCGUAAUGGGGCAUCAGCGCUUGAUGAUCAGCAACAACGUCCCUGACAUUGGAGGUCUUUCUACUCCAAGAACUCUUAGAUUAUCCCCAGGAAAUUCUCAUUUUUCUGGGGUCUUUUGGGAAUUCCCCUAAUCUCUCAACUCUUUCCAAUACCAAUACAUGUAAUUCACUUACGUUACACUUGUUGGAGAACUGUGCAUUGAAAUUACAACCAUUAUUAGGGAUAAAGGCUCAUCUGAAAA